CAUAUAAAAGCCGACUCUCACACUGAGAAGUCACGCACAACAUGCUUUCUCCAUCCACCCAAAAUUUCGCCAACUCUUACACUGAGGGUUGCGCACAUAUAUCCACCAAAUAAAAAUGCCAAUAUCUCACCCUAAGAAUUGUGCAUUCAUAUACAUUCCUUGCAUUUGUUAUCAUAAAGCUCUCUUUCCUUUUCAUCAGAAUCAUAGGAAUGGGCUAUAUAUAAAAAAAAAUUAUGAGAAAAAGCCAAAGGGGC
rnacentral:lncRNA from 1 species